rnacentral:lncRNA from 1 species
AUAAAAUCGAUUUUUUCCCAAAGACAGCUUUCUCUCCAAGAAACAACAACAAAAACAACCAUGUUAAGAAUCAUAAUAAUCUCAAAUAAAAGCUUUGCCUUUUGAAUAUAAGUUCCCCUCCACCUGCCCAAGGUUUUCUUGCUCUUUCUGAAGUGGAUAAGGAUUUAAUGAGAGGAAAAACCAUGAACUCUGCGUGGGAAACCAGAAUCUUCCCAUGAAAAUUCCAGCUUUACUCCUGCAACACCACUGAAGCACCGGGCAGACGCCUGGAACUGCAAUGGGUACAGAUGUGAGGGAUGCAUUCCCCCACAGCCAUGCCUGGAUGCUGCACACCCAAGCACAGGAAAUGAAAACACUCUUCUAUCUUCCUGUGUGAGAGAUGUCUUACAAGAAGAGAAGGGAUCCG